ACAGAUGAUAUCUUCAUCAUUAACUUGAUAAAAAAAAAUCCACGUUAUAAGGAAGUGUUGUAGUGGGUCUUCGUUUUCGAAAUGAGAAUUCUCUCUUGUUCCUCAGAGGUUUCUUCUCCGUCAUUGGAGUAUUCCCACUAAGGCUUCUCUCAGUUUGUUUGUUCUUUCUUCUUUGUUUUUUUGUUUUCUUUCUCUCGAUUUGGGUUUUAGGUUUGUUUGAUGUUGAGUUGGUUAUUAAUCCUUUGUUGCCUAGGUCUUGAGCUUUUACUUUUUUAUUUUGCUUGCUGCUGAUCUGUAAAGGGUAGGAAAAUUUCCUAAUCGCCAUUUUCUAGUUUUUCCAUUGGCCCAAUCUAUUGAAGUGUUUCUGGG
rnacentral:lncRNA from 1 species